GCGCGGGGGGGAGCCGGGAGGAGCUGCUGAGCCUCGACCCCGAGGCCCACCAGAGCUCCAUGUGGCUGGGCACCGAGGACGGCUGCAUCCACGUGUACCAGUCCUCGGACAACAUCCGCAACAGGAAGAACAGCAUGAAGAUGCAGCACUCCGCCGCCGUCAUGUGCAUCUUGUACCUGGAUAACCAGGUUUUCGUGUCGCUGGCCAACGGGGAGCUCAUUGCCUACCAGCGGGAGGCAGGUGAGGCCAGGGCGGAGGUGUCCCGGUAGCGUUUUGGGGCACGCGGGGAGGAGGUUUAGGAAGCAGGUCCCCCCCCUUGGCAGCCCUUUCCGGCCCCAGCUCCGAGAGACGGUCGGGGACCGAGUCGGGAGCGGGCACCUGGGACUCUCAGGGUGGCUGAGGGGGUGCAAAAAUAGCAAUGAAACACGCGUGGUCUGCAAAGGGGUGGACAGGGCCUGGCCGUAUCCUGUCUCUGAUUGUAUGGCAAGUGGCGCCAUCAGAUGAAGGUGGCAGGGAGAAAGGAGAGCAAAAGAGGUGGCAUCCUGCAAAGGGAGCCCAUCCUGCGAAGGGUGUCUGUCCUGGAAAGGGUGCUCAUCCUGCAAAGGGUGCCUGUCCUGCAAAGGGUGCUCAUCCUGCAAAGGGUGCUUGUCCUGCAAAGGGAGCCCUGGAUGCAAAGGGUGCUCAUCCUGCAAA